AUAUUUUUAAUUCCUGGACUUUGGAAUCCGGGUUCUUCAUCGUUUUUCUUAACCUGUAAAUUCGUUGAUUUGUUCUGAUUAUUGUUUUUCUGGAGUUCUGUUUCAUCCAUGUCUUGGUGCCGUUUGAGAUCCGUCUUUUGUCUUGAGAAUUUCAGUUGGUUUUCCCGGGGUCAGGGGUUGACAGAUCAAAGAUUGAGGACUUCUAAUGGUGGUGGUGAUUCGUUUUCUCACCCUUAUUUGCCAUUGAUAACACACAAUAAGAAGACAGCAAUGAGGGAAGUCCAGCUUGGAUCACAUACUCUAAGGUCUCAUGGAGUCAAAGUGGCAAGGACACAUAAGCAUGACUGGCUGAUUCUGCUGCUUCUUGCUGGGAUUAUAGCUGCUCUGAAUUUUAUUCAUCCAUUUUAUCGUUUUGUUGGGAAAGAUAUGAUGGAUGAUCUCAAGUAUCCACUUAAGAGUAAUACUGUUCCUUUCUGGGCUGUGCCUAUUUAUGCAGUUGUGUUGCCAAUUUUCAUCUUUCUGCUAUUCUAUUUUUACCGAAGAGAUGUCUAUGAUCUUCAUCAUGCAAUACUAGGGCUCUUAUUCUCUACUCUGGGGACAGCUGUUAUCACAGAUUCCAUAAAAGAUGCAGUUGGUCGGCCUAGACCAGACUUCUUUUGGCGUUGUUUUCCAGAUGGGAAGGAUGUGAGCUACAAUAGGAUUGCUUUUCGUGGUCUUAUUUUCAAUGUUUCCUCCUCUUUGGUUUUUACUCUUAACAGGAUCUACUUAAUUGUAAUGGCCUUACAGGUUUAUGAUAAAUGGGGAAAUGUUAUAUGCAGUGGUGCAAAAAAUGUCAUAGUGGAGGGGCAUAAGAGUUUUCCAAGUGGGCACACUUCCUUGUCAUUUGCUGGUCUUGGAUUUCUGUCACUGUAUUUAGCGGGGAAGAUAAAAGUAUUUGACCGCCGGGGUCAUGUUGCAAAACUCUGUUUAGUUUGGCUUCCUCUUAUAGCGGCAGCUCUCGUUGGGGUUUCUCGAGUGGAUGACUACAGGCACCACUGGCAAGACGUGUUUGCUGGAGGCUUACUUGGUUUGUGCUACUAGAAUCUGAUUUGCGUGUACUAAAUAUAGUUCUGUAGUUGCCUUGUUUUGCUACUUACAGUUCUUCCCACCCCCACAUCAUGUUCGAGGGUGGGCGACGUAUGCAUAUUUCCGGGCUAUGGAUGAGUGUGAUAGAACUACUCCGGCCAACAAUGGCGCAGGGAGCUUAGAGGCUGGAGUUGACAAUCAAGAAACUAAAAGAGGUGAUGAAGCAGAAGGACAAGCAUUCAUGGAGAUUGCUUUGGCUGACGAUUGUCACUCACACCCAGAGGAUAUGGAGUCUGGUGGAAGAAGGCAUUCUUGACUACUUCUAGAGUUCUAGUUAAAUAGCUCAGAUUUUUGAGAAUUAGCAUUUAUGGAGUAUGAUUUUGUACAGAAUAUUUUUGUUACGUUAUUGGUAACUAGCUGAUGCAUUUUAACAAACACUCAUCGUGCAGAGUUGGGUAUUGAGUUUGAAAUAAAUCCCCAAUUUUGACGCAUUA